AUGUUUAUUUGUGCAGCACUUCUUUAAAAGAUUUGCGUAGUCACUUAAUACGUCAACCGCCAUUGCUCUGCCAUAAACCCUAAACCCGAAGAAGCCGUUAUUCGUUCUGCUGCGUCUUCACCACACCCACACCGGCGGAGGGCGACGUCGCUGUGAUGGACUCAACGGAGUUAAAGGUAGCGGAGCUGUUGAAGGAGGUCCACGUGGACUACUCACAUCAGUUUUCUAAGCUCGUCGACGACACCGUCUCCGCCAUUAAAGCAUCCAUCGAUAAAAUCCCCGACGAUUUUAAGGUAACUGCUGAUUUAGCAUCGCGUUUUGUUACGGACAUUGGUACUGAUAAGGUGGAGUUCAAGUUUAAGAAGCCAACGUUUGUUAAGAUCGGAGGCAGUUACUCUAUACAGAGCCUUGCGAGGCCUGAAAUUAAUGUCGAUCUCAUUAUACGGUUACCGAAGGAGUGCUUCCACGAGAAGGAUUAUUUGAAUUAUAGAUACCAUGCUAAGAGGUGUCUUUAUCUCUGCUUGAUGAAGAAGUACUUGGAGACUUCUCCAUCUAUUGAUAGGGUUGAAUGGUCCACUCUACAGAAUGAAGCCAGAAAACCCUUACUCAUUGCGUAUCCAGCUGCAAAGCUUGUUGAUGUUCCUGGUUUUUUUGUGAGAAUUAUUCCGUCGGCUAUGUCUAUAUUUAGCAUAAAAAAGUUGAACCUGAAGCGCAACAACAUUCACAAUCUGAAUCAUGGGACUGCCCUUCAGGCUACACCGAAGUACAAUUCUAGUAUUCUGGAAGACAUGUUUAUAGAGGAUACAGAAUUCAUCAACAAAUAUUUUCUUGGAUGGAAGGAACUAAGAGAAGCAUUAAUCCUUCUGAAGGUUUGGGCUCGACAAAGAACUUCGAUAUAUGUUCAUGAUUGCCUGAAUGGAUAUUUGAUAUCUGUCAUACUGGCAUAUCUUGCUUCUAAGCAGAAAAUUAGCAAUUCAAUGAAGGCAACUGAAAUUAUUCGUGUUACCUUGAACUUCAUUGCCACCUCAGAGUCAUGGAGCCGAGGACUCUACUUUCCAAAAGAAGGCCAGAGCAAUAUAACAAAAGAGCAAAAGAUGCAACUUAAAGAGUCAUUUCCAGUCAUCAUUUGUCAUCCAUUUGGAGGAUUCAAUUUGGCUUUUCGAAUAACUAGAAUUGGUUUUACACAGCUUCAAGAUGCAGCUUCCUUGACACUUAGGUGCAUGGAGAAGUGUAGAGAUGGUGGAUUUGAGGAAGUUUUUAUGACCAAGAUUGACUAUGCUGUUAAAUAUGACUAUUGUAUGAGAAUAAAUUUGAAGGGAAAGAAGGAGGUAUAUGCAUCGGGAUUCUGUUUGGAUGAUGAGUGCUGGAGAUCAUAUGAGGAGAAAAUACAUUGUAUUUUAUCUAAAGGGUUGAAUGAUAGAGCAAAAUCCAUUCAAGUUACGUGGAGAAACACUCAAUGCCAGUGGAAUGUAGAUGAUGGUUUGUCUGUACUUGAUAAAGAGCCCUUGUUCGUGGGGAUUUCAGUGAGUACAUUGGAGAAAGCAUUUAGGAUGGUUGAUAUUGGUCCAAAUGCUGAAAGUAAAGAAGAGGCUCUUGAAUUUCGAAAGUUCUGGGGAGAGAAAGCUGAGCUUAGAAGAUUUAAAGAUGGUAGAAUUGCGGAAAGCACAGUAUGGGAAAGUGAGCAAUGGGCAAAGCAUCUUAUUUUAAAAAGAAUAGCUGAGCAUGUUCUUAGUCGGCACCUUUCUUUAUCCAAGGAAAGUAUUGUAGUCAUUGUGGAUCAACUUGAUUUCUCUUUGCUUCACGGUGCAAGAGAUCCUGUAUCAUACUCUGGAAGUCUACUUGGGGCAUUUGAUGUUUUAUCAAAGCGUUUGCGUCUUAUUGAAGACCUCCCUUUGAAGGUGUCCAGUGUUCAACCGUUAGACUCAGCUUUCAGGUUUACAUCAGUCUUUCCUCCAGAACCCCAUCUUCUUGCCAGUGAAAAAAUUGAAUCUCUCAGACUGCUUAAGUUAGUUCCAUCAUGCAUUGAACCACUGGAAGUUAUGAUUCAGCUGGAAGGUUCUGGGAACUGGCCGAUGGAUGAGAUUGCUAUUGAAAAAACAAAAUCUAGCUUCCUUAUUCAAAUUGGAGAGAGUCUUCAAAAGAUGUGGGGGGUGUCAUGUACUGCCACUGAGGAUAAUGUAGAUGUGUUAAUGUCUGGAUAUGCAUUUCGUCUUAAAAUUUUGCACGAGAGGGGGCUUAGUUUGCUCAAAAAGGAAAUUGGGAACGAUCAAGCGAAGCGUGUUCCUUCUGCUGACAAGAAACUUUUUACUUGUAGUCAGCACGCUAGCAUGAUCAAUGGAUUACAAAGUCGCCAUCCAAUAUUUGGUGCAGUGGUUAGACUUGCUAAGCGAUGGGUUGCUUCACAUCUAUUUUCCGCUUGCUUGGUAGAGGAGGCUGUUGAGCUAUUGGUUGCAUAUCUCUUUCUUAAUCCUUUACCAUUUGAUGUGCCCUGCUCGCGGAUCACUGGGCUUUUAAGGUUCCUGCGACUAAUCUCAAACUAUGAUUGGACUUUUUCUCCGCUGGUUGUUGACAUAAAUAAUGACUUGAGCCAAAGUGAUGAGAAGGAAAUAAAUGACAACUUUUUGCUCAGAAGGAAAGGUCAGGGAGAGAAAGGACAAAGUUUAGGGCCAGCAAUGUUCUUAGCUACAACUUAUGAUAAAGCAUCUGAGGCUUGGACUGGAUUAUCACCCAGUGCAAUGGAACUUAAAAGGUUAGUUGCUUAUGCCCAAAGCAGUGCCAAUUUGCUAAUGAAACUCACAUAUCAGGAAGAGAUUGGUCCUUAUAGAUGGGAGUGCCUUUUUCGAACUCCUUUGAACAAUUAUGAUGCAAUAAUUAUUCUGCACAAGGACAAACUCCCAUAUCCCCAGAGACUUCUCUUCACGUCAGAUGUUUCUCACGGAACACAAGUUGCUAAAGUACAUGCUAGCAAGUGUUUCCAACCCUUUUUGUUGCCUAGAGAUUUGAAGGGUAGGCAGGAGGAACUUCAAAAUAAAUUGCUGGUAGACUUUGAUCCAUCAAGAUAUUUUAUCAGAGACUUAGAGGUAAAAAGAGUUCUCCACCACAUUCCAAAUAUGGCAUGAUUCUCUAGGAGGUGAUGUUAUUGGCCUAACGUGGGGGGAAUCAUAUUCUUCGAAGAAGCGGAAGCAAGAGGAAGUAGUUGAUGAAGGAUAUAACCCUGGCAAGGUGUUAAAAGCUGUGGGGGAAGUUGGGAAAGGUUUUGUUAAGAGUAUAUACUUUCUCAAGCCUCCAAAGCUCAAGUAAUACUGUUUUGCUUAUCUUAUCAAUAUGUAUAAUGAAAAAAUUUUGUCCCAUUAAUUAGCUAAUUUUAUUAAUUAGAAAAUUAAUUUUAAUUAGCGUGGAGGAAUCAGUUCAACGUAGUUCUACUCUGUUGAGGGAAAAUGGAGAGUUAUUGUAGAUUGUGCGUGUGUAUAUACUUCACUUCCACCUCCACAGCUCGGCUGCCCAAGAAAGAUGAAUAGAGUUGUUGAUUCUUAUUUAUAAAGAAGCUGAUGUAAUAUGUUGUCAUUAAAUUACAAUAUACAUUUUCAAUCGAAUAUCUUGAUUCCCCUUGAUACGUAACAUACAUACAGAUGAAUGUAGGGUUUUGAUGUACUUGAAGUGCUCAAUGAUUCAUUUUCUU